rnacentral:piRNA from 1 species
UGUGAGUCAUGAGUACUGGAGGU